AUAAGCCUGAUCAACAAGUGAAAAGAGUCAGAUAAGAGGAAAGAGUUUGAAAACUGAUUUGACGACCACUGCUGAAUUGGCCUGCUCAGAGGAAGAGGCACUAAUGAUUCCAGAAGAGGAAGCCAAAGAAGAAGACCUACACAGACUUUGAAAUGGUGAAGGAGAUAUACCACACGUCCUUCCUGCUGCUGCCAGACUUUAUAAUCAACACUGCUCCAAGUAGACCACACGCACCCUAUCUGACA